GGGAAUGUGGCUUAGUGGUAGAGUGCUUGCCUUGCAUGCAUGAAGCCCUGGGUUCGAUUCCUCAGUACCA
rfam:Dipodomys ordii contig_62070, whole genome shotgun sequence.